AGCGGGAAAAUUUCAAGUUUAUUAAUAUGAAAUGUCGUAAACUAUAAUAAAACUGUUUUAAAGUUGAUAGUUAAGAAGCUGAAAAGAAGUUUAUCACUAAAAACUAUUUUUUUAAGACAAAAAGGCAAGAUAGGAUAGUUAUUAAUGUACAAAUUUAUCAGAAUCGAAACUGUUUAAUUUAAUUCUUGAGUAGUAAAAUAAUAAGUUGUGAAGUAAAGUGGUAAACUGGUAAUUAUGGAAUAAUACCAACAAAUACAUAUCAUAAAUGGUUUAAAUCUGAUCUAAGUAAUGCGAUACUUAUGCAAGAAUUCAGUCGGAUAUUAUAUAUAGUGCAAAGCAGAUACAUGCGAGAGAAGCGACACCUAUGCAACAUAAAAGUCGACGAAGGUGUUAGAGCAUCUAGUCGCUCUCGUGAAUGGCUAACGGAAGUCGGGAAAAGAUAACAAUCGUCGUAUUGGGAGCGUCAGGCGUUGGAAAGACAUCACUAAUAGAGCAAUUUUCUAAACAAUGCUUCAAUGACUGUUAUUCACCUACAAGACAGCGUAGUGCUUACUUUGUAAAUGUGCUAAUAAAUGACCGAUUACACGAUGUUCAAAUAAUUGAUCUACCUACGUUGGUUAAUUUUCCAAAAGACGGUGCCUACGAAAAGGAUUAUAAAAAUUUAAGAGAUGCCUCAGCCUAUAUAUUAGUGUUCGAUUGCUCAUCGGAAAAGACUUUUUUGUAUGUUUCGAAAAUUCGAAAGCAGAUACAACAAUGGUCAAAAACCGUCCGUCGUGAAGCACCACCAAUUGCCGUUGUUGGUAAUAAAUAUGAUGUAGCUGGUAUGUCGGCAGCUUUACGAAAAGAAUACGCAAAUCUAAUAAGAAAGCAAUGGAAAUGUGGUUAUUAUGAAACGUCAGCCAAGUUUAAUUGGCAUGUCGUAUUAGUUUUUAAAGAGCUCUUUGUACAAAUGGACCAGAACUCUAAUAAGAAUGCUUCAGUUAAACUGAAUGGUACUUUCCGGACGAGUAAAUGUACGAUUUUGUAAGACGAAAUGAAGAAAAAAGUAAAAACGGCAUUUUCUAUGUCAGUUACUGCAAGAAGGCUUGUAAACAAAUCAUCCCUCGCCAACCAUAAAUGUCAGGACCUUUUUCGCGUGCAGUUAAUGAAGGAGUGGAGGGGGAGCCAGUUCGAUCCAGCGUGAUAGUAAUUAUAAUGUACUUAUACUGACAAACCAUUCAUUAGCUUCAGUUGGCACACCGAUUCUCUGAAAUCUUUCUGUAAUCGAUGAGCGCUUAAUUAGAAAACGGGUUACUUCCCUUUUCCUCCUCUUUUUUAUUUGAUAAACGGUGCCAAAAAAAAAAUGAAAACGAUAAUUCCAUUUCUAUUCUAUGUCUUUAUUUUCUUUUUUUCGAUGUUGGCGGUCGUGAAAUGGAUCAAUCUUCUCGAUCUAGACAGAUCGAUUAUCAUAUAUGUCUACAAAUUGCCUCUUUUUCUUUCCUGUUUUUCACUCAUCCUUUAUAAAAAGAAAACAAGGUUUCCCACCCUCCUCUCUUAUUUAUCAUUUUAAAAGGACGUGUUAGCCCUAAAAUAGUUCCUUUUUGCUUAAAGCG
rnacentral:misc_RNA from 1 species